UCGGGAAUUUUGGGCAAUGGGCGAAAGCCUGACCCAGCAACGCCGCGUGAAGGAUGAAGUAUUUCGGUAUGUAAACUUCGAAAGAAUAGGAAGAAUAAAUGACGGUACUAUUUAUAAGGUCCGGCUAACUACGUGCCAGCAGCCGCGGUAAUACGUAGGGACCAAGCGUUGUUCGGAUUUACUGGGCGUAAAGGGCGCGUAGGCGGCAAUUCAAGUCAUCUGUGAAAUCUCCGGGCUUAACUCGGAACGGUCAGAUGAUACUGCUUUGCUAGAGUGCAGAAGGGGCAAUCGGAAUUCUUGGUGUAGCGGUGAAAUGCGUAGAUAUCAAGAGGAACACCUGAGGUGAAGACGGGUUGCUGGGCUGACACUGACGCUGAGGCGCGAAAGCAAGGGGAGCAAACAGGAUUAGAUACCCACGUAGUCCCUGAGCGGGCUGGCAAGGCGCAU
rnacentral:rRNA from 1 species